GUUUUUGAAUGUUGUUUUGUUAGGUGGUUGUUUUUAAUCUAAUUAUGCACGGCAAUGUAUAGCGGCACAAGUUUUCGGUGGACUCCAGAAAGAAUAGCUGUGGUUAUGGCCCCAGCUAAUGGAGAUCCCAAUAAAUCAAAUCUAAUCCAAUAUCCCAGCAACC